rnacentral:rRNA from 1 species
AACGAACGCUGGCGGCAUGCCUAACACAUGCAAGUCGAACGAGAUCCUCCGGGGUUUAGUGGCGCAUGGGUGCGUAACGCGUGGGAAUCUGCCCUUAGGUUCGGAAUAACAGUUAGAAAUGACUGCUAAUACCGGAUGAUGACGUUAAGUCUAAAGAUUUAUCGCCUGAGGAUGAGCCCGCGUAGGAUUCGCUAGUUGGUGUGGUAAAGGCGCACCAAGGCGACGAUCCUUAGCUGGGCUGAGAGGAUGAUCAGCCACACUGGGGCUGAGACACGGCCCAGAAUCCUACGGAAGGGAGCAGUGGGGAAUAUUGGACAAUGGGGGCAGGCCUGAUCCAGCAAUGCCGCGUAAGUGAUGAAGGCCGUAGGGUUGUAAUGCUGUUUUACCCGAGGUGAUAAUGACGGUAUCGGGAGAAUAAGCCCCGGCUAACUCCGUG